rnacentral:rRNA from 1 species
CCUGGUAGUCCACGCCGUAAACGAUGUCAACUAGCCGUUGGGAGCCUUGAGCUCUUAGUGGCGCAGCUAACGCAUUAAGUUGACCGCCUGGGGAGUACGGCCGCAAGGUUAAAACUCAAAUGAAUUGACGGGGGCCCGCACAAGCGGUGGAGCAUGUGGUUUAAUUUGAAGCAACGCGAAGAACCUUCCCAGGCCUUGACAUCCAAUGAACUUUCCAGAGAUGGAUUGGUGCCUUCGGGAGCAUUGAGACAGGUGCUGCAUGGCUGUUGUCAGCUCGUGUCGUGAGAUGUUGGGUUAAGUCCCGUAACGAGCGCAACCCUUGUCCUUAGUUACCAGCACGUAAUGGUGGGCACUCUAAGGAGACUGCCGGUGACAAACCGGAGGAAGGUGGGGAUGACGUCAAGUCAUCAUGGCCCUUACGGCCUGGGCUACACACGUGCUACAAUGGUCGGUACAAAGGGUUGCCAAGCCGCGAGGUGGAGCUAAUCCCAUAAAACCGAUCGUAGUCCGGAUCGCAGUCUGCAACUCGACUGCGUGAAGUCGGAAUCGCUAGUAAUCGUGAAUCAGAAUGUCACGGUGAAUACGUUCCCGGGCCUUGUACACACCGCCCGUCACACCAUGGGAGUGGGUUGCACCAGAAGUAGCUAGUC